rnacentral:rRNA from 1 species
GACGAACGCUGGCGGCGUGCUUAACACAUGCAAGUCGAACGGAAAGGCCCUGCUUUUGUGGGGUGCUCGAGUGGCGAACGGGUGAGUAACACGUGAGUAACCUGCCCUUGACUUUGGGAUAACUUCAGGAAACUGGGGCUAAUACCGGAUAGGAGCUCCUGCUGCAUGGUGGGGGUUGGAAAGUUUCGGCGGUUGGGGAUGGACUCGCGGCUUAUCAGCUUGUUGGUGGGGUAGUGGCUUACCAAGGCUUUGACGGGUAGCCGGCCUGAGAGGGUGACCGGCCACAUUGGGACUGAGAUACGGCCCAGACUCCUACGGGAGGCAGCAGUGGGGAAUAUUGCACAAUGGGCGGAAGCCUGAUGCAGCAACGCCGCGUGCGGGAUGACGGCCUUCGGGUGGUAAACCGCUUUCGCCUGUGACGAAGCGUGAGUGACGGUAAUGGGUAAAGAAGCCCGGCUAACUACGUG